UGCAUGAUUGUUUUUAAUCAACUUUGUGGUGAUAUGAAAGGCUUGAGUAAUCUCUUGAAGAGGGAGAAUAUUUCAUUGUUCCUUCUAACUACUGAGUUUCUUAAUUUCAAUCUUCAGGACCAAUGACAACUAGAUUUACAAAAGGAAGAAGCAUAGUAGGAUAAUUUUAGCUUGUGGGUUGGCAGGACUGUCCUGCGUUCCCACACUUUUUAAACCUAGGAGAAAAAUUUUUAAGUCGGGACAUAGACAUUGGAAGUCUGAAAAGAUGUUUUAUCUUAAGUAUAUCCUCGAAAAGUGCAGAUUGGUGAAAGAAUUUGGAAGGCAAAAAUAGUGUGGUAUGAUGCCAUUUAUUUUCUGCAGUGAGUCGAUAUGACGUGGAUAAAAGUGAUUUUAUGCAUUUUAUAAAUUCUGUUCGAUGACACUGUACCAUUUCGAUGAAGACUACGAGACUCAAUGAUGACAUUGACCGGGCUGUCCGGGGAGUAUGUGAUAUUCGAACAGAAUGUCUCAAAAUGCAAGUUCGAAUUCGAAUUUUUUUUGUGACAGCUGAGCGGGAAAAUUGGCGGUUUUAGCACAUUAACGGUGUUAAGCGUUCGUUUUGACGAACGCGGAAUGAUUAAUUUGGACUGACGUGUUAAUUUUUAAGACUUCGUUUGAAAAGAAACACACAUUACGACGUCAAAAAUUUGCGACAACUGAAAACUGCAAAAAGAAAAAGACCAACAGAAUUCGUGGAGAAAAACGGUGAACGGCAAUUGUGCGAUACAGAUCGAGAUUGAAUUAGAACACAACUAUCAGAAAACCAUUCCGAGUUGUAAAGAUUGUGUCGCUACAAUCGUCACAACCCGAAUCCCGAGAACCAGGAAGGGUAUUGGGACGACGUGCCCAGCCUUCCGGGAAGAAAUAAGACUGUUAUUUGCCCGGUUCCAGAAUCCGGAGGGGUCUCGGGACAAAACUGUAACUCUCUGUUUUUAUGAACUUUUAGCUUCUGGUCAUGUCCUGAAUUGAAUUAAUAACAUCUAAAUUUGUUUUCAGAUUAUGAGAAGCUAGGAGUUGAGGGAAAGGUUGAUCCAUUUUCGAUGAAGAUGAUGAUUUUUAUCUACUGAACAUAAAUAAUAGUAAUAUGAUAAAUAUGUAGUAGCCCUGUUUUUAGGAGUGACCUCGUGGUCUGGGGAUACUGAGACCCAGCCAUGCGCUCACUGUGUAUGCAUCUAAUUAAGUUAAUUAGAGCGUUCUGAUCGAAGCCGGAAACAGUAACGUUUUGUCGACCCGAUGUUAGAAAGACCAUCAAAAGAACUGGCUUAGGCCUGUAGAGCUGUGUUUAGACGCUGGCCAGUCGUUUUAGAACCUAGCUUUUUUCCCGUCGAUUUGUACUUCCGGGCGAAUGUUACACAUCACGGACUUUUCUUGUGUUGUUAGCAGUUUGCUUUUGAGUUGCAACUUUUGUUCAUUGCAGUUUCACGGCGGACUUGAGCUGGAAAAAAAAUUCUGUUGUCAAAAAAAAAUCAAGUUUGCACUGAAACUACAAAAUACAUUCUUUGCAGCAAUAGCGAAAUUUGCUCUCUCUCAGCACUAGGAAAAUCCAUGGUGUGGCAGAAAAAAUUGUUUUGGCUCAAUUGGUGUCUGUUUAAUGAUUGUUGGGCUUGCUUCCGUUUCGUAAGUUUGGUUCCGUUGCUUAUUUAAUAUUCAAAUGUUUUGUUUGGCAUGUUUGUCUAGAAUGAGCGUUUAUCGAAAAUUUUGGUAGACCUAGUUUUUUUCCAAAUUUUUUUAUUUUUCCGAAAUCUUAGGUUUUUUAUGUCUGUGUUGCAUCGCAAGUGAUGCGAAGCUCUGGUUCGCCUAUUGGUACAAGUUGCUGUUGUCUUCAAAAAAUACAAAUUGGUUAUCACUUUCGGAGGAAACGUUCCAUUAUUCUUACUGAGAUGGAAAAAGCUUUUAUAUCAGCUAAACCACUUUCGUCACGUUUGCUCAUGAAAACUCGCUGAUAAUUUUCCUGGUGUCAAUCAGUUUUAAUGCCGCCUUCUUGAUACUGAUAUGUGGAGGUUCCUUGUCUGAUAUCCGUUGCUCUAGAUCCGCCACCUCAAUCUUUCUUACUUUAAGUAUGCCGUACCUUGAUUACUGUGAUCUUAAGUUUCUUCAAUAAUAUCAUUCACUAAUUCAACAUUAGUUGGGCAUUCAUUUUUUUGGAUCAUUUCGUCGGUCUACUAUUUGUGUGCGAUGAACUAUUUGCUUGAUAGGUUAACAGGUUCCAUUGUUGCUUAAUAGUUUAACCACAAAAUUAGGCUAACGUUCAAGACAUUUUUGAGUGUCUUAUUUUCACCUUUGUUCCGAUAACUUCGUAUUUUGUUAAAGAAAUUUCAUUCUUAGUUUUUUUAGGAAUUCGGCAGACGACUGUGGUAAAUAAUGUCUUAUCCAGUCUGAACCUUCUCACGCUCUUAUUCGUUGUCAUUAUGGGCUUCAUCUUGGCCGACUGGCCCAACUGGACGAACGAUUUUCUACCGAACGGAGUCUCUUCUGUAUUCGAAGGAGCUUCGCGGGCAUACUUUGCGUACACAGGAUACGAUGCCAUUACGGUCGGCAGCGAGGAAGCCAAAGAUCCCAAUCGAUCAGUGCCCAUAGCACUCAUUUUCACCGUUCUUUUUAUCACAGGGAUCAAGUUAUCAUAUUUUGUCAGAUAAUAACGGCCCGCCCCUCCCAUAAGUGACGCCCUCUCUCCCUUUCAUUCAGGACUUCAAUUCCUGCUUCAAAAUAUGCAUGUUGUAUUUUGAAGCAGGAAUUGAAGGUCCCACUUUUUGUUUCAAUUUUCCGACACUGUCUGAGUUGGUCGACUCUCAUCGUUGAUAUUAUAUUAUACGCUGACUUUUUACUUAGCUAGGCAAUUUAAAAAUAAACAUAAACAUAAGAAACUGGGGCUAGAAAAAGCAGGUUGACAGAUAGCCUUUUUUGAGUCCUUUUAGUUUGGGGUAGAAAGAAGCGUGAUUUAACUUGAUCUCUUCUAUGACAGCACUGAUGUCUUCGUUGGCGCUCGCUCUGACUUUGAUGGUACCAUAUCUGGAAAUAUCCGAAACAACUGCAUUGUCCUCGGCGCUCGAUUACAACGGAAUGCAUUGGGCUGCAAACAUAGUGUCCAUUGGGGCAAUUUUUGCUCUUUCUUGCACGGUUAUUUCCAACAUAAUGUGCACUUCUAGAAUCACGUACGCAAUCUCGUCCGAAGGACUCUUGUUCAGAUUUUUAUCACGAGUCAAUAGGUCCACCCAGGUUCCAAUUUUUGCAACUAUUUUUGGCGCCACAAUUACAAUUCUGAUGACGUUUUUUAUACCACUUCAGGAUUUGACAGAAAUGUUGGCGUUCGGCAACCUUUUGGCGUACGCAUUCGUCGCUUUCGCCGUGAUCAAACUCAGAACAACUUCACUAAAGUUUCUUCAGCAGGAGGCUAAUAAAAUUUUUUAUCCGAUGAAAAAAUCCCCCUGAUUGAGACAAAGAACAAAAAUGAACCUGAAAAUCAUCAAAACUUAAGUAUUGAUAACCGAAAUGAUAAAAAUAACACGUGGAACCAGCGACAGUGUAUAUCAGCAGUGGGGCUUCUUGUCUUUGCUUUUCUGGCUUGUAUUUUUCUGAGGAUAGCGCAAAACUCGGAGCUUAGCAGCUCAGCUACUAUUGUUGUGACAAGUGAUAAGUGCUUGUUGUCUGGUUGCAAUGAUGUCUUGUUUGGUGUGCUUUUGGAGACUAUCGAACACGAACCUUGUCACAGAAACAGUUUAUCGAGUGCCAUUGGUCCCCUUCUUUCCCGCCUUCUCAAUAUUCGUCAAUUUCUACCUCAUGGUCCAAUUGAGUACUAUCACUUGGAUCAGGUCAUUUGUGUGGAUUUCCAUCGGGCUGUUGAUUUAUUUCUUCUAUGGAAUCAAGCAUAGCGACUUGGAAAAGGUCUCCACAAGCGAUGACGAUGACUCACUGUCUGACGGAUGUGGCGGCAGUCGCGAAUAGCUCAUUGAAUAGACUCAUUUGAUAACUCAAACCAUUGUAGUUAGCUCGAUUUGUGAAAUAUGCAGAACAAUCAAUUUAAAAUGGUGUUUUUUCGG